rnacentral:rRNA from 1 species
UACGUAGGUGGCAAGCGUUUGUCCGGAUUUAUUGGGUUUAAAGGGUGCGUAGGCGGUUCUGUAAGUCAGUGGUGAAAUACUCUAGCUUAACUAGAGGGGUGCCAAUGAUACUGCAGAACUUGAGUACAGAUGAGGUAGGCGGAAUUGACGGUGUAGCGGUGAAAUGCAUAGAUAUCGUCAAGAACACCGAUAGCGAAGGCAGCUUACUGGGCUGUAACUGACGCUGAUGCACGAAAGUGUGGGGAUCAAACAGG